rnacentral:misc_RNA from 1 species
CCGAGUUAUUCUACUCCCAAACCCCUGUGAACUUAUACCUUUACUGUUGCUUCGGCGGGUUAACGCCCCGGAAGGCCCGCGAGGGCCGCCGGAACCAGGCGCCCGCCGGGGGACCCAAACUCUUCUGUAUUUUUUAUUUUACUGUUAUACUGUCUGAGUAAAAAACUAUAAAUGAAUCA